AUGGACCAUUUGUUUUGUCUUGCUUGCAAAGCUGAACAGGAAAUAAAACAACAUGCUGCCCACAAGGAGAACAAGCGCGAUGUGCACAUUCCAAGAGUUGAUACGGUUGUCCCUUCAACUACUAGGUAUACUUUGACAACCACAUUCGUUGUUGUGAGGACUGCAUCACCUCCAUCAUGUGACACAUCACCAUCGAGAGUGCCUACAUCAUCUGAGUUGAUCAUAAGAGGUAAUGACAAAGGGCCUAGAACGGACAAGAAGGAUGAACAUUGGAGCAUGGUCAAGCACAAAGAAGAAGGUGCGUGCAAAGAGAACAAGAACGGAGGUUCAAGUGGAGAUUUUCGAACUUUAAAGCCACCAUGA
rnacentral:rRNA from 1 species